UACAGAGGGGGCGAGCGUUGUUCGGAAUUACUGGGCGUAAAGGGCGCGUAGGCGGCCUUCUAAGUCGAACGUGAAAUCCCCGGGCUCAACCCGGGAACUGCGUCCGAUACUGGGAGGCUUGAAUCCGGGAGAGGGAUGCAGAAUUCCAGGUGUAGCGGUGAAAUGCGUAGAUAUCUGGAGGAAUACCGGUGGCGAAGGCGGCAUCCUGGACCGACAUUGACGCUGAUGAGCGAAAGCUAGGGGAGCAAACGGG
rnacentral:rRNA from 1 species